rnacentral:misc_RNA from 1 species
ACGAUAGAAUCAGUUAUGGCCGCGGCUCUCAAGAUGCACGGUUCUUCGAGGUUGCUCGUAAAUUGUUUAUCGUGAAGUUUGUUCGUUUUUUAGCGUCGGAUUACCUCAAGAUUUUAACAAGACAAUAAGGUGCAGCUCGAACGAACCGAAGAGAGAAAAGGAAAAAACUAGAAUCAUGGCAGACGACGGGUCCGGGGGUUCCAGCAGUGUUGGAAGUGGCGAGGCGAGCCGUGUUCAAUUGCUGCAAGAAAUGCGACAGCAAAACUUCGACAGCAUAAGAUUUGCGUCCUAUAGAACCGCCUGCAAACUGAGAUUCAUUCAAAAGAAAGUUCAUCUGCACAACGUCGAUAUAUGGAACGUAAUAGAGGCAUUCAGAGAAAACGGUUUAAACACCCUCGAGCCAUCAAGUACCCUCGGCGUUUCACGUCUCGAGACCCUACUAUCUUCCCUCUUUCAUGCGCUCAACAAGAGAGUGCCAGUUUCUCAGCAAUCUAAAGUCGACGCUACAACAGCGUUGCUUAUGAAUUGGUUGCUCGCGGCUUACACCAGUGGAGAGAACAACAAGAUAACGGUAUUCUCCGUGAAAGUUGCUUUGGCCACUCUGUGCGCUGGGAAAUUAAUGGACAAAUUCCGAUACAUAUAUUCACAAAUUUCUGACAGCAACGGUCACAUGAUACACUGGCGAUUUUCUGAAUAUUUGAAAGAAGUUCUGGCCUUGACAGCUGCAGUGUACGAAACCCCUUCUUUCGUUUAUUCUGAUGGUUUGGCCAGCACAAUUUUCCCUCCGAACUCGAAAAUCACCGUCAACGAUUUUCUCGACACUCUCAUGUCGGAUCCGGGACCACACUGUCUUAUAUGGCUUCCACUGUAUCACAGAAUGGCUGCCGUUGAAUCAGUGACACACCCAAUAAUGUGCGACGCCUGUCACCGUGAGAACUUCAAUGGUUUCCGUUAUCGUUGUCAAAAAUGUCAUUCCUAUCAAUUGUGCCAGGAUUGUUUCUGGCGUGGCAAAGUAUCCGGGACACACAAUAACGAUCACGAAACAAGAGAGUACAGUAGUUUUAAGUCACCGAGCAAACAAAUCGGACAUUCCCUGCGUAAGAGUUUUAGAUGCGUUCCGGAAAAAGGUAAAAAUAGUCUUCCAAGGUUUCCAGAACAACCGGAAAAAACGUUAGAUUUGUCGCACAUUGUACCACCGUCACCUUUGCCCUCACACAAUGGGUUCCCAGACCAUGGUUUCAUGGCACCUUUCGACGCUGGCUCUGUCGACAGUCGUUCGACGCUCAGAAGUAUGGAUAGUUCCAGGCUGGACGACGAGCACAAACUCAUUGCAAGAUACGCACAGAGAUUAGCACAGGAAGCUAGAACCGUGCCGCGUACUUCAUCGAGGAUGUCACACGUCGACCAGUCGCAGGGAAGAGCACCCUCCGAUGCGAACCUCGCAUCGUUAGAUGCUUCGAGAGCACAACGGGAAUUAAUUUCACAACUCGAGGCAAAAAACAAAGAGAUAAUGCGCGAGAUUGCAAGGUUAAGGAGACAGCAAGAAAUCGAAGCAGCUGGCUUAGAAAAUCCUGCCCUUAUGUCGGAGCUUCGAGCCUUGAGACAGCGCAAAGAUGAGCUCGAAACUCAUCUCGCUACGUUGCAAGAUUCCAGGCGACAAUUGAUGGUUCAGUUGGAGGGACUUAUGAAGAUGUUGAAGAAUCAUCAGGCAUCGCCGCGUUCUACACCGAACAGUUCGCCGCGAAGCACGAAAUCGCCACCUUUACCACCAGGGGGUAUUCCGAGCAGUAGAUCAGCACCCCCAACUCCGGGUGGUGCGUUAUCGACGACGCCACAGCAACAACCGUUACAACAACAGACGAAUCAACAAUCGCAACAGCAAUCUCAACAACAGCCGCAGCAGCAGCAGCAGCAGCAACAAAUAUCACAGAACUAUCAAAGCCCCGUUCUCCCAACAUCCGUCGCAAAUAUGCCGGGGAAUGCGAUGCUCGGCUCUCUACAGAAUCCCAUACCAGAUAGUCUCUCGUGUGUCGGUGGCGACGUAAGGUCUGCGUUCAGGACAAACAGCUUGCCAGGGAGCGGCUCGAGCAGUGCCAACAAUAGUUUGGGACGAUCAUUACGAAACGACUUAUUGGUAGCCGCGGACAGUGUCACUAAUGCCAUGUCAACGCUCGUGAGGGAAUUAAAUUCAGACUCUGACCAGGAAGAACACUCCCACAACUCUGGGCGGCAUAACAUCAGAAAACCGCUUGGUAAGUUUUCGUUAAAAUUAUUUUCAGGUUAUAUCUUCUCUCCUCCACAAAAAACUCCAGCCGCGACGCACCGGUGAUAUAAAAUCGGAUGACUUAUUUUUUUCCACGAAUUGCAUUGAAUUCUAUUGGUACAAAAACAACGGUUUCACUAAUAGCUCGAUGGACCAUCUUUCUUUUAGUACUUUUAGCUUCAACACGUAUUGUACCGUUUCCAUAGACUCAAGAUUUCGAAGCCGGCGAGGACGGUGAUGACAGUAGCGGAGGUGGCAACUCUUGGCGGGAGGAACUGCAACGUCGCUAUCAGCAGGAAAAUGAUUUCCUUGCAG